CGCUGCAGCACGUCCCGGAGCCUGGCCUCCGACAGCUCCACGUGGCCGCGCAGGUCCUUCAGGAACAUGCGGCCGCCGUGGGCGCACAGCACCUUGAAACGGGGUCUCCUCAUGUUGCCCAGGCUGGUCUCGAACUCCUCAAGCGAUCCACCUGCCUCAGCCUCCCAGAGCACUGGAAUUACAGGCGUGAGCCACCCCGCGGGGCCUGCUGAGCUUUAUUGGAAAGUGGCUAGUCCGAAUUGAGAUGUGAUAUAAGUGUGAAAUACACACACUAGAUUUUGAGGACUGAGAAUGAGAAAAAGAAUGUAAAAUAUCUCACUAACUUUAUAUGAAUCACAUGUUAAACAUAAUAUUUUGGAUAUAUUUGGAUAAAUAAAAUGUUAUGACAACUUCAUGUGUUGCUUCUACUUUCCUAAUGUAGCUAUGAGGAAAUUUUACAUUGCAAAUGUGGAUUACCUUAUUUUUGUUGAGCAGCACCAGUCUAGACCUGCCUUAAGCAUCCAUGCUUUUUGUCCAACACCUUGCUUGUUUCAUGAACGUUUGUUGAGC
rnacentral:lncRNA from 10 species